ACAGAGAGCUUUAGGAAACUGGCUAACAUUUGCCCCUGUGCUGUGCCAAACAAACAUACCACAAAGUUCUUGGUAGCAUGGAUGGUAGGUGCCAUUUCAUCAGAGCGUGCACACCCAACUUGACUCUAGUACACUGCUGCUCCUAGCCAGGGUUGCGGGAUUCUAAACAGUUCCUAUCAAGAAGCCAUUGAGUGGUACAACUGGAGGAAUGUUUGUGUGGACAAUUCUUUCUUCCAUUGAGAGGCGAUGAGGAAAAAUCCGGAAGUGGAUAAUGAUAUGUGCUCAACACACAGGACCACUAAAUACCUCAGCAUGCACUUGAUCAAGCUGAAACAGCUAAGGAAGUAGGACAGGAAUUGAGUUCUGGGGCCUGGGAACAUGAACUCGGUUUCUUGAUCCUGCCAGACAAGUGGAAUUUCUUCCUGCGAUGGCUGAACUCAGGAAACAGUCUCCUAACAGCAAGCUACCCGAAAUGCAGGGACAAAAAAUGGAGCAGAGACUGAAGAAAAGGCCAUCCAGAGACUGUCCCACCUGGGGAUCCGUCCCAUUUGCAGACACCAAACCCUGACACUAUUGCUGAUGCCAAGAUGUGCUUGCAGAUGGGAGCCUAGUAUGGAUGUCCUCUGAGAGACUCUUGACAGCACCUGACUAAGACAGAUGCAGAUACUCACAGCCAACUAUCAGACUGAGCAUGGGGACCCCAAUGGAGGAGUUAAGGAAAGGACUGAAAGAGCUGAGGGUGUUUGCAACUCAUUGGAAGAACAAUAUCAACCAACCAGACACCUCAGAGCUCCCAGGGACUAAAUCACCAACCGAAGAGUACACAUGGACAGUCCCAUGGCUCCAGCCAUAGAUGUAGCAGAGAAUGGCCUUGUUGGGCAUCAGUGGGAGGAGAGGCCCUUGGUCCCAUAGAGACUUGCUGCCCCAGCGAAUGGGGAUGCUAGAAGGCAGCCUGACGAGCCGUCCACAGUAUCCCGAGAUUCUUGGUCUGGAUAGAACCAGGGAUAAUGACUGAGUCAUGCUGAUGGGUCAACUGUCAUCAGAACAUCACCAGGUCCUGUGGGUGUGCUUCUGUGGCUGCCUCCCUGACUCUACCUCCUCUCAGAGAUCCAAUCCUCCAGUCUCAUCCCAGUUCUGCAGCAGAAGCUCAUGGCCGCCCCCACCCCCUGCCCACCACCUUUCAUUUCUUGUGGAUCCCAUAGAUCCAUAGAUUUUUCCCUUUCUUUCUUUCUUUCUUUCUUUCUUUCUUUCUUUCUUUCUUUCUUUCUUCCUUCCUUCCUUCCUUCCUUUCUUUCUUUCUUUCUUUCUUUCUUUCUUUCUUUCUUUCUUUCUUUCUUUCUUUUUAUCUUUAUUAACUUGGGUAUUUCUUAUUUACAUUUCGAUUGUUAUUCCCCUUCCCGGUUUCCAGGCAAACAUCCCCCUAGCCCCUCCCCCUCCCCUUCUAUAUGGGCUUCCCCUCCCCAUCCUCCUCCCAUUACCACCCUCCCCCCAACAAUCACGUUCACUGGGGGCUAACCUCCCUGCCCCCAUUUAUUGCUUUUCCUCAGGCAGGCACUCCCUUCUAAGCCACAGGCUGCAUCUACCAGAAAUCAGGUAGGCUGCCUACAGACCUUCUCUUUUCUCUGUUUCCCCAGUUCCAAUCCUCCAGUCUCUUCCCCCUUCUAAUCUCCUCAGUCUUCCCAGACCCCAAUCCCAGCAGUCAUUCCCCUGCUAUCCCAAGUUCCCCUCCUUUCAAGGCAACAAGUAGGCUGAAGGCAGGACCACGCCUCUUCUACUGCACCUGGGAGUCAAUACCGCCAGCUUCAUUCCCAGCUCUACACAGCAAAUCUGCUGUGGUCUCCUUUUUCUCUGUGACCCCAGUCCCAAGGGGGAUAACAAAGACCUUCUCCUCCAACCUUGCUUCCACCAACUCAUCCUAGGACCCUUGCCUCCAACACCAGCAGGCAUUCCCUGUGAGAGUAUCAGCUAAACAGGCCAGGAACCCUCUCCAAAAAUCCAGGAAAGGAACCAAAUCCAAGGAACAAAACAACCACCAACAAAGACAAAUCCAGAAAUCAGCACCUAGACCUAUAAUUAUUAGAAACUGAGACCGCUAGAGGCCACAGCUCUUCCCUACAAUAACAUGAUAAUCACAAGAGAAUGCUAUGUCUCCACUUGAGCACAGCUGAAGCAAAAGACCUUAAAACCAACUGUAUGAAGAUGAUGGAGGUCCUCGAACAGGAAACAAACAAAUCCCUUCAAGAAAUCCAGAGAAACAAAAUCAAUGUGAGGAAAUGAAUAAAUCCCUUAAAGGAAGCCAGGAAAACACAAAAGGCUGGAAGAAAUGAAUAACCCUCUUAAAGAAACCCAAGAAAAUAAAAACAGUGGAAGGAAAUGAAUAGAAGUGUUCAAGAUCUGAACAUGGAAAGAGAAUCAACAGAGAAAACACAAACAGAGGAAAUUCUGGAAAUUAAAAACUUAGGAGUUUUCACAGGAACUACAGAGGAAUGCUUCAGCAACAGAAUAGAAAAGGAAGAGAAAAUCUCAGGCAUUGAAGAUAUAAUAGAAAAAAAUGAGUACAUCGGUCAAAGAAAUUACUAAAAAUAAAAAACUCUUGACAAAAUAUUCUGGAAAUCCAGGAUACUAUGAAAAGAUCAAACCUAAGAAUAAUAGAAAUAGAGGAAGGAGAAAAAGCUGAGCUCAAAGACCCAGGAAAUAUUUUCAACAAAAUCAUAAAAGAGAAUUUUCCUAACCUAAAGAAGGAGACACCUAUAAAGGGGCAAUAUGGAUACAGAACACCAAAUGGAUUGGAACAGAAAAGAAAGUUUCCUUGCCAUUAAUAAUCAAAACAUUAAACAUAUAGAACAAAGAAACAAUAUUAAAAGUUGUAAGGGAAAAAGCCGACUAACAUAUAAAGGCAGACCUAUUUAUUAAAGUACAACCAACUUCCCAGUGGAGAUUAAGGCCAAAAGGGCCUGAAAAGAAGUCAUAUAGACUCUAAGAGAUCACAGAUGCCAGUCCAGAUUACUAUACCUAGAAAAAGUUUAAAUCAUCAUAGAUUGAGAAAAUAAGAUAUUCCAUGAUAAAGUCAUAUUUAAACAAUAUUUAUCUAUGUACUGGCUGGUUUUGUGUAUCAACUUGACAUAAGCUGGAAUUAUCACAGAGAAAGGAGUCUCCCUUGAGGAAAUGUCUCUGUGAGAACCAACUGUAAGGCAUUUUCUCAAUUAGUGUUCAAGGGUAGGAGGGCCUAGUGGGGGGGGGCUGUCAUCCCUGGGCUAAAUGUCCAGGGUUCUAUAAGAGAGCAAGCUGAGCAAAUCAGGAGAAGCAAGCCAGUAAGCAGUACCCUCCAUGGCCUCUGCAUCAGUUCCUGACUCCAAGUUUCUGUCAUGUGUGAGUUCCUGCCCUGGCUUCCUUUGGUGAUGAAGAGCAAUGUGGAAGUGUAAGCUGAAUAAACCUUUUCCUCCCCAACUGGUCUUGAUGUUUUGUGCAGGAAUAGAAACCCUGACUGAGACAAUCUACAAGUCCAGCCCUAUAGAAGGUGAUAGAAGGAAAACUCCAGCCUAAGGAGGUUAACUAUACCCAUAAAAACAAAGGAAAUACAAAAUCUCACACCAGCCAAACCAAAAGAAGGGAAACACACACACACACACACACACACACACACACACACACACACACACACACACACACACAGAGUCACAAACCCCACUACCACUACUACCACAAACAACAACAACAGCAGCAGAAACAAAACAGCUGCAAUCUAACAUGAAGAUGACAUUUCAAUUCUUAACACCGAUGCCCCAUCUAGGGUACCCAAGUUUGUGCAAGAAAUAUUACUACCCCUUAGAUCACAGAUUGUGCCUCACAAAAUGAUAGUGGAAUGCUUCAGUACUCCACUCUUACUGUCUUAUGGACAGGUUGUCUAGACAAAAACUACACAGAGAAAUACUAGAGCUAACAGACAUUAUAAACCAAAUGGACCCAACAGAUAUUUACAGAACAUUUCCUCAAAACAUACAAGAGUAUACCGUCUUCUCUGUACCUCGUGGAACUUUCUCCCAAUUGACCACAUACUCAGAGACAAAGUCUCAACAGAUACAAGAAAAUUGAAAUAACUCCCUGCAUCCUAUCAGACCACUGUUGAUUAAAUCUAAAUAUGAACAAAACCAGAAACUGGUUGCAGAAGGGUUGCGAACUUAUAAAACUGGGAACGACUCUCUAUGGAAUGAAAAGUAGGUCAAGACAGAGACAACAAAGAAAUUAAAGAUUUCCUAGAAUUCGAUGAAAGUGAAUUCAUAGCAAGCUCAGACUUAUGGGGCACAAUGAAUUAGUUACUUAGAGGAACGUUCACAGCACUAAGUGCCUACAUUAAGAAAUUGGAAAGAUGUUAUAUUAGCAACUUAAUAGCACAUCUAAACACUCUUAAACAAAAAGAAAGAAGCACACCUAAGAGGAGUAGAUGGCAAGAAAUAAUCAAACUAUGGCCUGAAAUCAAUAAAAUGUAAACAAAGAGAACAAUAUAAAGAAUCAAAGAAACAAAGAAUUGGUUCUUUGAAAAAACAGUAAGAUAGACUUUGCAGAGAUAAAAUAGAGAGAAAGAUAGAGAUAGAUAGAUAGAUAGAUAGAUAGAUAGAUGAUAGAUGAUAGAUAGAUAGAUGAUAGAUGAUAGAUAGAUAGAUGAUAGAUGAUAGAUAGAUGAUAGAUGAUAGAUAGAUGAUAGAUGAUAGAUAGAUGAUAGAUGAUAGAUAGAUGAUAGAUAGAUAGAUGAUAGAUGAUAGAUGAUAGAUGAUAGAUGAUAGAUAGAUGAUAGAUGAUAGAUAGAUGAUAGAUGAUAGAUAGAUGAUAGAUGAUAGAUAGAUGAUAGAUAGAUAGAUGAUAGAUGAUAGAUAGAUAGAUGAUAGAUAGAUGAUACAUAGAUAGAUAGAUAGACAGACAGACAGACAGACAGACAGAAUCUGAAUGGGAGGUCUCCAUCAAUCCCUCCCUUCAGAGCUCAGAGAAUCCCUCAGAUCUUGUAGAAACCAGAGAGGAUAAAGAAAACCAGCAGAACAAGGUCCUCUCCAUGAAUUAAGCAGGUUUCAAAUGCACUAACGGAGACUGAAGCAGGAAGCACAGGAAGCACAUGGAUCUGCACCAGGUCUUCUGCAUGUACAGUACAGCUAUUUAGUGUUUUUAUGGGACUCCUGGGCCUCUGACUCUUGUGCCUACUCUUGGGACUCUUUUCCUCCUGUUGGGUUGCCAUGUCCAACUUUGAUUUGCUAGUUUUUGUUUCAUCUAUCAUAUUUUAUUUUGUCAUGCUUGAUUUUGAUCUUCUAGAAACCUGUUCUUGUCUAAUGAGAGAUGGAAAGGGAGUGGGUCCAGAGGGGUGGGGAGGUGGGGAGGAACUGGGAGGAAUAGAAAGUUGGAAACUGUAAUCAGGAUACAUUGUAUGAGAACCUGUCUUAAAUAAAAGGAAAACAACUGAAAACUUGAAA